rnacentral:tRNA from 1 species
GCCGUUGUAGCUCAACUGGUAGAGCAACUGACUUGUAAUCAGUAGGUUGGGGGUUCAAGUCCUCUCGGCGGCACCA